rnacentral:rRNA from 1 species
CCUACGGGUGGCAGCAGUGGGGGAUAUUGCACAAUGGGCGGAACCCUGAUGCAGCGACGCCGCGUGGGUGAAGGAGUGCUUCUGCAUGUAAAGCCCUAUCUGCAGGGAAGAAGCAAGACGGUACCUGAGUAAUAAGCCCCGACUCAACACGGGCCAGCAGCCGCGCUAAUACGUAGGGGGCGGGCGUUUUCCGGAUUCACUGGGGGUAAACGGAGCGUAUACGGCCAGGCCAGCCAGGGGGGAAAGCCCGGGGCCAAACCCCGGGACUGCCCUUGAAACUGGAUGGCUGGAGUGCGGGAGAGGCAGGCGGAAUGCGUGGUGUAGCGGUGAAAUGCGUAGAGAUCAGGAAGAACACCGGCGGCGAAGGCGGCAUGCUGGCGCUCAACUGACGUUGAGGCUCGAAAGCGUGGGGAGCGAACAGGAUUAGAUACCCGUGUAGUC